rnacentral:tRNA from 1 species
GGCGAAUGUAGCCAAGGGAAUCAGGGGGGGGAUGGGGAACCCCCCCCAUUGCGGGGGUUUUU